GGAGAGUUGUCCGAGUGGCUGAAGGAGCACGCCUGGAAAGUGUGUAUACGGCAACGUAUCGAGGGUUCGAAUCCCUCACUCUCCGCCA
rnacentral:tRNA from 1 species